AGGCAGUUAGUUUAAGAAAAACUUUUAAUUUCGGCUUAAGAAUUUACGGUUCAAAUCCGUGACUUCCUU
rnacentral:tRNA from 1 species